CCCCGCUCUCUCUCAUCUCUCUGUUCUAGAUAUGUUGGCUUUUUCUGUUUUUAUUGACAUCAUCCUCUCUCCACAGGGCCUUCGCACGUUCUGUUCUUGCUGGGACUCUAUUUCUUUGUCUUCAGCUAUUCAUUGCCAAUGCAGCCUUCAGAUCACAAUGCGAGUAUAAUUUUGGGUGGGAGGGAAGCUUCCUGGAGUUCCCUGACUGGCACUAGUCAUCAGCGCUAUUUUAUAUUUAUGCAUGAUGAUAAUAAUCUAUCUCUUCCACAACACGGUGGGAUCCAUAAACAAGAGCAAAAACUGUGUUUAUUUUUGUGAACUUUGUAACUCCAGCAUCUAGCAGAGUGCCUCACAUUAUAAUAAAGGCUCCAUGAAUAUUUGCUAGUAAAUGAAAGAGGAUUGAAAGAGCAAUUUAGGGGUGCUUCAUAAAUGUUCAUUUAUUCUGACAAGAUACCCCUACCAUGAAGGAUCUAAAAGUAUUCCCCUGUCCCCAAAUAAUUCCCCCACUCCCAACCACAGUUCCUGAAAAAUCACCACUAGGGUCCAUCGUUUGGAAAGGGCCUUAUCAUCUCUGAGGUCAAAACACAUUAAUUAGCCAAAACAUUAGCCACAGAGAUGAGCUCCUCUCAUUGUCUGUACUGCCCACAGCUGGUGUGGAGCUGGUGUAGACGGCAGUACCCUGGAGGAACAGAAUAUUAGAAUAUUAGGGUAUCAGAGCAUGAAGACACCCUUGGUGCCAUCUAGCCAUCUGCUUCACUAUACAGAUUUGGAAACUGAGGUCCAAAGAGGAGCCCAUUGCAGUUCACUAGUUCAUCCAUUUAAUAUUAAGCACCACUGUGGGCAAAAAUCAUAUUCAUACAUACAUAAAGAACUCUGCUGCAAAAGCAGCUAAGUUGGUGCUGUCAUAGAACGGCUUGUAGCCAUGCUGUGGAAGCCUACAGCAGAAAGCAGUCAAUUCCAGGCUGAGUCAGGGCCUGCUUCAUGGAGGAGGGGAUAAUAUUUGAAGUGGGCCCUAAAAAAUAAUCAGGGAAAAGCCAAGAUAGGCAUCUUAGCCUGAAUAAAUAGCACUCGUCCUGGGAUUUAGGGACCAGAUGUCUGUCUGGGGAGCUGUCCUUGACUGCUUGUAAAGCUACAGGGAAAAGGAAAUGAGGCAGAGAACCACGGCCUAAAAGGGAGUUAGAGCCAAGCAGAAAGAGGAGAAUAAGUUGGAAGAUCAGCUGCCCUACCUCUAUUUAGCAGAAGCCAAAACGCUGAAGACUGCCCUUCUCUCCCACCCUUACUAGGU
rnacentral:lncRNA from 1 species